AUUGAACGCUGGCGGCAUGCCUUACACAUGCAAGUCGAACGGUAACGGGCCUUCGGGUGCCGACGAGUGGCGAACGGGUGAGUAAUACAUCGGAACGUGCCCGAUCGUGGGGGAUAACGAGGCGAAAGCUUUGCUAAUACCGCAUACGAUCUACGGAUGAAAGCAGGGGACCGCAAGGCCUUGCGCGGACGGAGCGGCCGAUGGCAGAUUAGGUAGUUGGUGGGAUAAAAGCUUACCAAGCCGACGAUCUGUAGCUGGUCUGAGAGGAUGAUCAGCCACACUGGGACUGAGACACGGCCCAGACUCCUACGGGAGGCAGCAGUGGGGAAUUUUGGACAAUGGGCGCAAGCCUGAUCCAGCCAUGCCGCGUGCAGGAUGAAGGCCUUCGGGUUGUAAACUGCUUUUGUACGGAACGAAAAGCCUUCUUUUAAUACGGGAGGGUCAUGACGGUACCGUAAGAAUAAGCACCGGCUAACUACGUG
rnacentral:rRNA from 1 species